GACGAACGCUGGCGGCGUGCCUAAUACAUGCAAGUCGAGCGAGACUCUUCGGAGUCUAGCGGCGGACGGGUGAGUAACACGUGGGCAACCUGCCUGUAAGACUGGGAUAACACCGGGAAACCGGUGCUAAUACCGGAUAAUCCUUUUCUUCUCAUGAGGAAAAGCUGAAAGUCGGUUUCGGCUGACACUUACAGAUGGGCCCGCGGCUCAUUAGCUAGUGGGUGAGGUAACGGCUCACCAAGGCGAAGAUGCGUAGCCGACCUGAGAGGGUGCGCGGCCGCGCGGGGACUGAGACACGGCCCAGACGCCUACGGGAGGCAGCAGUAGGGAAUCUUCCACAAUGGACGAAAGUCUGAUGGAGCAACGCCGCGUGAGCGAUGAAGGCCUUCGGGUCGUAAAGCUCUGUUGUUAGGGAAGAACAAGUACCGGAGUAACUGCCGGUACCUUGACGGUACCUAACCAGAAAGCCACGGCUAACUACGUGCCAGCCGCCGCGGUAAGAC
rnacentral:rRNA from 1 species